UAUCAAUAAGCGGAGGAAAAGAAACCAACAGGGAUUGCCCUAGUAACGGCGAGUGAAGCGGCAAAAGCUCAAAUUUGAAAUCUGGCAUCUUUGGUGUCCGAAUUGUAAUUUGGAGAGGCAACUUCAGGCAGGACCCAGUCUAUGUUCCUUGGAACAGGACGUCAUAGAGGGUGAGAAUCCCGUUCUUGACUGGCUGUUCCUGCUAGUAUGUAGUGCCUUCUACGAGUCGAGUUGUUUGGGAAUGCAGCUCAAAAUGGGUGGUAAAUUUCAUCUAAAGCUAAAUAUUGGCGAGAGACCGAUAGCGCACAAGUAGAGUGAUCGAAAGAUGAAAAGCACUUUGAAAAUAGAGUCAAAAAGUACGUGAAAUUGUUGAAAGGGAAGCGCUUGAGACCAGACUCAGCCUUUGGCAAACAAGUGU
rnacentral:rRNA from 1 species